CAAUUCAGAAAGCCAAUCUUAUGAGAAUGAAGAUUUUUUGUGUGCGUAAUAUGUGUGGGUCCAAAGUCUUCGUGUUUGUAGUGGGAAGCAGACAAUCUAGCCUACAGUGUCUAUACGUAUCUGGCAGAAUGCUGCAUUACAGCCAGCUUCCAUGAGAACUGCAUGAUAUUGGAAGCCUGGGGGACGAGUACAGAGGAGCCUUUAUAUUGACUUAUUACUUUCAGACAGUCUUCGUAAACAAGGGAGUGAUCUUCACAGAGGGAGCUACUCUGGCAUUUGGACAUCUGUGAAAUGAAGGAAACACAGGGCAAAAACAGGCUGGUCCUAUUAAAUUGUGAGCAAAUAGAUACUACCUGGAUUCUUCGCAAUCUUUCGGGCUUUUCUAGUUAAUAGGAUUUAUACUUCCUUCUUUGUAAGAUUUGUGUUUCUCUUAUGGUAAAAUAUACCAUAGUUCAGCACUGUGAGAUCUGGGAUGAUGUCUUACUGCAGCAAUGAAUCUAUGCACAUGACUGUGAGAAGAGAAACAUAAAGUAGAGCAAACUAAUUGAUUUUGAGACCUUGAUAGAAUUYUACGUAUCAACUUCAAUCUGUGCCUAUUUGACAAUAGCAUUUGCCUUUACCAUUUCAUGAAUGUGCUUCAUCCUGUUGGCAUUUAAAGUGAUUUAAAUGACAACAACUACAUGGACAGAUUUUUGAAUCUCAGGCUCCCUGUGGCUUUUUCAAUGCCUGUUUGCUUUUUAUAGCUUUGUUUCUCUUUCUUAUCAUGAUUAAGAGGUGAGACCAACAAAAAGCAAAACAAAGUCUUGUCUGAAUGUACUUAGGACUUGGUAUGAAAUGUAACUGGGGACUCUCUCUUUCUGCCUGGAUAAUCCACAAUGGGAAAAGACAAAUUAUAAAUAACAGUACUCCAGCAGACAGAAUGCAUUAAGAUUGAUAAAAGUGGGACUGCUGAUUGAUUUGAUGGCUCCCAGAAUGAUGAUAUAAAAAGUAUGAGCAAGUGGCAGUGAUUUACAUAUUAAAAUGCUUAGGAACAUGAUGGUGUUUGGCCUUCUCUGUUGAAUCCACUUUCAGGAUUCAAACUCUGCAGAAGUACACUUUUCAAGCAAGUGUUCAAAUAGCACUGUAGCUUUAAAGUGUACAUCUUCAUAGAGUUGCU
rnacentral:lncRNA from 1 species